rnacentral:snoRNA from 1 species
GUAGUUAAAUAAUCAUACUGACACUGUAUAUACUUGUAGUUAAUGAUUACCUGCAAUUUAAGCGAAUCGAUUAAUGGAUGCUGGCGUGUGUCACACAAGUUAAAUAACACAAUCGCAUCAUUCCAUAAGCAAUCGUACAAAU